AAAGCUAUUGCAGCGGCUGGAGCCAGUGGAUCUGCGCACAUGGCUAUGGCGGAGGUGGCAACAGCUUCGACAAAGACCUCAGAGCCCUCAGGGUCUUCUCGAUUUAAUAAUGAGAAGCAGAGCUCCUGAUGACCAGCAGUCAACCAUGAUGUACUGGAUGGAUGAAGAGACGCAGAUCACCACCGACAUAUUGCCCGGAGGCUUUGUGGGGGUAAUUGAUGCUUCAUCCAUUUCUGACUUGUUGGUUGUGUACCCCUGGGUCCUGAAUCCACUCAUGAGAGCUGCACUGUGACUAGCUGCCCGUGGACCCUGACAACGUCAAGCUUCUGGGUGAUGUCCUUAUCAUUGCUCUGGUCUCCCACUUCAGCAACGACUUCACUCCUGCCACCCACGAUGCCUUCCUCAAGUUAGUCUGCGUCGUGGCCCAUGCCCUAGCUCUCUGCUACCAUUAAUCUCCUGCAGGAACCUGUGGUGCCCUCCUUUCCCAUUUCCACCUAAUAAAAGGAUA